rnacentral:rRNA from 1 species
CCGACGGUGAGGGGCGAAGGCUGGGGGCGCAAACCGGAUUAGAUACCCGGGUAGUCCCAGCAGUAAACGAUGCCAGCUAUGUGUUGCUGGAACCAUGGGUUCCAGCAGUGCCGAAGGGAAGCCGUGAAGCUGGCCACCUGGGAAGUACGGUCGCAAGGCUGAAACUUAAAGGAAUUGGCGGGGGAGUACCACAACCGGUGGAGCCUGCGGUUUAAUUGGAUACAACGCCGGGAAUCUUACCGGAGGGGACAGCAGUAUGAAGGCCAGGCUAAAGACCUUGCCAGAUCAGCUGAGAGGAGGUGCAUGGCCGUCGCCAGUUCGUACCGUGAGGCAUCCUGUUUAGUCAGGCAACGAUCGAGACCCGCAGUCUUAUUUGCCAGCAUGCCCUUUGGGGUGUAUGGGUACAAUAAGACGACCGCCAGCGCUAAGCUGGAGGAAGGAGCGGGCUACGGUAGGUCAGCAUGCCCCGAAUCCUCCGGGAUACACGCGGGCUACAAUGGUCAGGACAAAAGGUACCGACCUCGAAAGAGUGAGGUAAUCCACAAACCUGAUCUCAGUCCGGAUCGAAGGCUGCAACUCGCCUUCGUGAAGAUGGAAUCGGUAGUAAUCGUGACUCAAAAUGUCACGGUGAAUAUGUCCCUGCUCCUU